rnacentral:lncRNA from 1 species
CCUGCCUCAGCCUCCCAAAGUGCUGGGAUUACAGGCAUGAGCCAGCACACCUUGCCCGUCUAGUGACUUUUAUUGUGGGAGAGAAAACUUCUGCCUUGAAAUGUAAGUUUGAAUGAUUUUCAAUGUGCCAGCCUCUAUGACAAGUACCUAGCAAAGAAUUUAAGAUUCACAGCAACCCUAUCAUAUAGCCAUUGUACAGCCCCAUUUUACACAUAAGAAAAGUAAAGCAUAGAGAAAUUAAACAAUGUGAAUCAAGGGCAAGAUUAAAUAGCUAAUCACAGGCAGGGCAAGUCAGGAUUUGAACUCCGGUCUGACUGGUCAUUCAUUACAUGGAUUCUUUAAUCUUGCCUGGUGCCUGUCUCUUACCAUUGGAUUUAUAAACCAUGCUGUAGACUACCCAGGGGGUACUUAUUAUUUAAAGCAUUUGCAUGGCACUUUAUGUUUGCAAUGUGUUUUACAAUUGUUUUUAUUACUUAUUCCUAUUUUAUAGCUGGUCUCAGUUUAUAGCAUGCUUUCUGCAAUAACAGUUGUAAAGAAAAACAAACAAACAUGGAAACCAUCUCUGCAUUGCUGGAGAGGGCAAUCAGAAUCUUCAGCAUUCCAGUCCUAAGUCCUUCUUACAGAGGGAAUGAUGAAGGAGGAUGUGGUGGAAUCACCUCCCCAGGAUGUCUGCUUUAAAUGGAAACCAGGAAACACAACAGAAAGAUGACUCGUCCUUCAAAAAAACUGCCAUG